rnacentral:rRNA from 1 species
GACGAACGCUGGCGGCAUGCCUAAUACAUGCAAGUCGAACGCUGAAGCACUCUGCUUGCAGAGUGCGGAUGAGUGGCGAACGGGUGAGUAACACGUGGGAAAUCUGCCUAUAAGAGGGGGAUAACAUUCGGAAACGGAUGCUAAUACCGCAUAUAUUCUUGGACCGCCUGGUCCUUGAAAGAAAGACGGCUUUGCUGUCGCUUAUAGAUGAUCCCGCGGCGUAUUAGUUAGUUGGUGGGGUAAAGGCCUACCAAGACAAUGAUACGUAGCCGACCUGAGAGGGUGAUCGGCCACACUGGGACUGAGACACGGCCCAGACUCCUACGGGAGGCAGCAGUAGGGAAUCUUCCACAAUGGGCGAAAGCCUGAUGGAGAAAUGCCGCGUGAAUGAAGAAGGUCUUCGGAUCGUAAAGUUCUGUUAUUAGAGAAGAACAAGUCAAGGAGUAACUGUCUUGACUUUGACGGUACCUAACCAGAAAGUCACGGCUAACUACGUG